rnacentral:rRNA from 1 species
GCUUUACUUAAAAUAUUAGUAAAUUAUAUUAUAGUUUGGUUGGGGUGACCUAGGAAUAUUAAACAUCCUAAAAUUAAAAGAUAUAUAAAUCUUGAGUAGAUCCAAUAUAUGAUCAAUAAAUUAAGU